AAAAACAAUAAAUGUUAUUUAAAAACAAGAUAGAAGAAAAAAUAGAAACACAUUUUGUCCUGACAAUGUUUAAGAUCUAGUAAGGAGGUAAACUUGAUAUGCAAAAAUAUGACAGAAAUACCUAAAACUAAAUAUAAAUUAGUACAGAAUAUAUCAUUAUAUAAGUUACGUACAGAAUUGCCGAAGCAAUUUAAGCUCUGAGCCUGAUGGGGUUAAUCACUGAAGGCUUCCUGGAAGAGGUGAGUUUAUAAGCAAGGUUUGAAAAGAGAGAGAUGCUAGACAGAUGUGGAGAGAGUUCCAUACAAGGAAUAUGUGAUUUAUGCCCUGUCUGACACAUUUACUUAGCAAAAGUUUCCAUAUUCCAGAGAGGAAAUCCUCUUUUCCUGACUCUUGGACCGCUGUUUUAGCAGUAAAGCAGGGAAAGGUAUUAAGACUAUUACUUCCACCUAAGUUAUACCUGGUUUUAAUACAAAUAGGACUUUUAUUCCCCUCUCAAACCAUUGGCGGAGUUCUAAGGCAACCUGAGUCCUCUGCUGAACUGAGUCAGAAAAGAUCCACCUGUUUUUCACCUGUGUACAUUUCCUUACCCUUAGGAUUCCAGACCACAUCUCUUUCUUAUUGGCUGCAUUGGAGUUAGUGGCAAGACGAAGUGGGAUGUGCUCGAUGGGGUGGUUAGACGGCUGUUCAAAGAAUACAUCAUUCAUGUCGACCCAGUGAGUCAGCUAGGGCUGAAUUCAGACAGCGUUCUUGGCUACAGCAUUGGAGAAAUCAAGCGCAGCAACACUUCCGAAACACCGGAGCUGCUUCCUUGUGGCUAUCUGGUUGGAGAGAACACGACCAUCUCAGUGACUGUGAAAGGUAAUUGAGCUUGUUGCAGAAGUCGGAGCUUUCAGGAAUUGCAGUGUUUGUUUUGUGACUUGGCAUAGGCACUUGUGGCCCCAGUUUUGUUUGUGCAUGUAUUUGUGGGCUGCUUGUCUCCCUUCUACCACAGUUACUCUAUGCAAGUUGAACCGUCUUUUGCUUUUUCAACCACCUUAGGAAACAAAAUCAUUUUAGUUUAUUGCUGCAAUUAUCUAACAAAAGAUCCCAUUAGCCUUAUGACUCUGAGAUGAUGGAAUCUUAAUAACCCUGUUGAAAUAGGGCUUUACUAAUACUGAUGAAUUACUCUUGCCAGCAAGCUUUGGAUGCAGUCCCGUUCUACAGAUGGGAAAACCACGACUUGCAAUAGGCUGUAGGAGUCACUCUGAGCAUCCUGAUGAAACUGCUGAAGCUUGUGCCCACGCAUGAUGCUGCUAGAGCUUCCAGUUUCUCAUUACCUAGUGAUAUUAAGCCCCAGGCCAGUGGAUUCCUUAGAACUCCAGGCCCACAAAGUUCACUGAG
rnacentral:lncRNA from 1 species